rnacentral:rRNA from 1 species
UACAGAGACCUCAAGCGUUAUCCGGAAUCAUUGGGCGUAAAGCGUACCGAUCGGUGGUUUAUAAAGUCUUGGGUAAAAGCCGGAAGCUCAACUUCCGCGUUUGCUUAAGAUACUUAUAGACUAGAGGGGCAAAGAGGUGCUUGGAACCAACGGUGUAGUAGUGAAAUGCGUUGAUAUCGUUGGGAACACCGAAAGCGAAGGCAGAGCACUGGGUGCCACCUGACACUGCUAGGACGAAAGCGUGGGGAGCGAAUGGG